GCCCACGUAGCUCAGUGGAAGAGCGCAUCCUUGGUAAGGAUGAGGUCACCGGUUCGAUCCCGGUCGUGGGCU
rnacentral:tRNA from 2 species